UUUAUUUAUUUAUUUAUUUAUUGAAUGUAGUAUUCGGUGUUAGGGUAGUUUUUUGUUGUUUAUUCCAGCAAAGUAUGAGGUAGUUACACCCCAGUCUAGUAGGUGGCGGUAAUGCAACAUUUAUUGGAUGCCAACCGCCGUUAAACCGUUAAAUCGAAGAAGAAGAUGCGCGCUUGCUGCAUAACUAUGUGAACGUCACCAGCUCGCGGUCUCUACACAGUCCACGGUGGUGAGUUGGUUAGGCCUACUGAACAGCACAAACUGGCCCUAACCAGAACAGAAAGAGGAGUUGGAGGCCCCGGUGCACAAAAAAACCCAGCCGCUUCCAGGCAAUGGGAGUAGGUGUUAGACCCGCUUGGCAGAAGCUUAUUCAAGAGGCAGAUUCCUUGUAGGAAAGUCCAAGCUUACAAGUCUAUGUCCACUGUUUGGUUAUUUUCCAUGUGCAAAAGUAGGUCAUUAUCUAGCUAUAUCUCUUCAGAUUUGGGGAAUGGUCCUUUACGAUUUCCUAACAAAGUUGUCCUGUGGCUGUUGUGUUUGUGUAAAACAUUCACCUGAUGUUUUCAACAACAACAUUCCUAGAACCCAUUUAAGGUUGUCAGAAUGUUUAAUUAGGUUGUGGGAACAUUCUGGUGAGAACAAAAUACAUGUUCCCACAACACUGAAACUGUCUUGUUGUGCGAAAACAUUC
ensembl:lncRNA